GACGAACGCUGGCGGCGUGCUUAACACAUGCAAGUCGAACGGUAAGGCCCUUCGGGGUACACGAGUGGCGAGCGGGUGAGUAACACGUGGGUGAUCUGCCCUGCACUUCGGGAUAAGCCUGGGAAACUGGGUCUAAUACCGGAUAGGACCACUGCCUGCAUGGGUGGUGGUGGAAAGCUUUUGCGGGGUGGGAUGGGCCCGCGGCCUAUCAGCUUGUUGGUGGGGUGAUGGCCUACCAAGGCGACGACGGGUAGCCGGCCAGAGAGGGUGACCGGACACGCUGGGACUGAGAUACGGCCCAGACUCCUACGGGAGGCAGGAGUGGGGAAUAUUGCACAAUGGGCGCAAGCCUGAUGCAGCGACGCCGCGUGAGGGAUGACGGCCUUCGGGUUGUAAACCUCUUUCAGCACAGACGAAGCGCAAGUGACGGUAUGUGCAGAAGAAGGACCGGCCAACUACGUGCCAGCAGCCGCGGUAA
rnacentral:rRNA from 1 species